rfam:Picea glauca, whole genome shotgun sequence.
AUGUACAUUCCUACAACAUAGCGUUAAUGCACCCAUUAGAACUUCAUAGUUAAGCACGCUCGGGAUAGAGUAUUACUGGGAUGGGUGAUCGCCCAGAAACUCCUAGUAUUUUACAUG